GGGUUUGUGGUUGUUGUCUGCCGACCCUUCAAUCGGCGGAGCUCUGCCAUGGCGAAACCACGUGGCUCAGGGUUUGAUGUCGUUUUACGCCGUCGCUGCAGUCGGCGCUGUUCUUAUCAUGGUGAACCUACCUGGCUUAGGGUUUGUUGUCGUUCUCCACCAUCGCUGCAGGCCGCGCUGAUCUCCCAUGGCGAAGCUGCGUUCCGGUGUUACCUGUUUUCUUCUGGCAGAUCUUCGAGUUCGUGGUGUUCCUGAUGGUAUCGAUUAGGGCAGGGGAUGAUUUCUUUUCUGCUUGUUAAGCAGUUCCAUGGCUGAAAACAUAUGAUAGAGUUUCAUCCACCAGACGAUCGCGUCGCCUAGAUCUACGGAUCCUAGCUAUUUCUCGGUCAACUUUGGUUUGUUUUAUAUAUAUCUAACGUGUGCCUUUUCAUAGUUCAUUCAUCUUUUGGCUUGUUUCGUUAUCAUGAGAUCCAACAUGGUUUCUUUCAGUAUUAUCAGUUUCAUCAGUUUAUUUGCAUCUUCUUGUUUCAUUACAAAUAUUCACUGUCGGAAAUUGUUUUCUUUCAAUUUAAUGAUUGUUCUGAUCCUUCGAACUAUUUAUUAUGAUUGUCUUUUUUUUUUCCUAUUUGGGAUCGUAUUGCAGGUUACCUUAGAUUCUUUCUCAGGCGCCUAUGAUCAUGUUUCUUGGAUCAGGAGUUCGGUAGAUGACUGUUCGUGUUCCAUGGAUUUUGUUGAUCGUACGUCUCUUUUUAAGUACAGAGGAACUCGAACCAUGGGGCGGUUUAUGAUUGUCAGACUAUGUUCUCCGAUUGCAAAUUCGUAUUAAAGGUGUAAAAUUAUGAUAUUCCCUGUGGCUGGGAACAAGCGGGUAUUGAUUGAGGGAAGGUAAUUUGGAACUGAACUUUGUUAUAUGGGCCUUUGCCAUGUUGGGUGCGCUCGCAUGGCAGGUCACCUAUCCUUAAUAAAAUUUUAUUUUUUUGGGUGUGCUUGUGGGGAGAUCGCACGGGGUAUUGUUAUUUAUCCCUGGGUUCUCCUCCACUUUGUGGUGUUGCGUCAUUGGUUCCUUUUUGCCCCUGCAUAUUUGCAUCCGCAUAGCGUUAUGUUGCCCCACUAAAUAUCUUAAGACUUCAUUAUUUGGGUUGGUACGAAAUCAUUUUCGGAGUGAUGAGGUCUAUUUUGUUUUUGGGUUUCCAUAGAUACUGUCAUGCAUUUAAAACAGUCAUUGACACAUUAUGCAGCUCUUUCCAGAGAGAUUGAGCAUACUCAGUUACUUUAAAACAACUGCUUUAAUGAUUAGCACAUUAAGUUAUUCUAUUAUUUAUUUAAUUACAACAUUCCUUCUCCUUUUGCGAUUAGCUUCCAGCCAAAUUUGUAGACACAUGCAAUGGUAAUUUGAUAUGUCGAGACUACUUCAAUGGUCAGUGUCACUAAGAUCGUGCUGCAUCUUAUUUACACUUUCAUACAUUGUGACUGGACCAUGUAAGGUUCCAUAUUGUUGCAUCCUCAUGUAUUCGUUUCAGUAUAAGAUCGUCAACCCUGAAUAGUCGAUGAGGGUCAAUCGCCAAUUGCUGGUUGUUAUGGUUUGAGAAUUGAAAUUUCGUUUUUCUGUUCUUGUUUUCGAAGUAGUUUCAAUAUCACUGGUACUUGAGAUUUAGGUCAUCUGGAUUUUGAAUGACCUGCAGCAGAGACAAUAAUCUUCGUUUUCAGAAGAACAUGACCAUACAUCAAUGUACUUUUGUAUUGGGCCUCUUGUGUUGCAGGAGCUGGAGAUUUCUUCCAUUUAGGGAGCAUGUAUGAGGAAAAAGAAGCUUAUUUCAGAUCCAUGGAGCUUGACGUGUUCCAAGGAAUUUGGUGACCAGCUGUUAUUAAUCAUCGGAGGAACUAGCCGUAUGGAUACAUUGGGCUAUCAGAGGUUCCCUGUGUGCUUCUGGUGGUGAUCUCAUGGGACGUUUCUUGAUUCCUUGCUCUUACUCUCCAGUUGCUCUUUCUCUUACGCCGUUAUUUGCUUUGUGGUUAAUCUAAAUUUUUUAGGUGUUUUGGAUUUUACUUCCAUGGGAGUUAUAUACCACUGUGCACAGACGUAACUCUCAACAUUGACUUAUGUUACAUUGAAUAGGAAUAUGUGGAUGAUCUUGAAUUGUUGCAAACAUGAUCUUCGUUUAUCUUUCACUUUUUAUAGCCAAUUUGAUGUGGUGAAAAAGGUCACCACCAUGAACUCUUUUUAAUCUUAUCUGGGUUGAAAUGUCUACUAAUUGUUAUAUCCUUUGUUGAGGGUUAGGUAUUGUUGUCAUGAGAUUGUUUUUCAGUUGCUUUAUUGAUAGUUAAGUUUUGGUGUCGUUUUUUUAUGAAGCUGUUGUUUUAUUUGGUCUUAUUUUGAUGUGUCUUCUGAUUUGUAUGUGCAAUGUUGUUAUAAUGGCGAAAUGGAGUCACAAUUGUAUGAACGUCCAUUCUGCUAAUUUGACUUUUUAAGCCGGACCAAGUCAUUUGAUGGCUUUCUCCGGAAGAUACUGGAGAUCGACUGGUGUUAACUGUUAAUAUAAUUUAAUUUGACUGGUAUGAACUGAUGGCUUUCACCAAUUUAGUUUGAGACCAAAGUAGUUCUAUUUUUGUCGUGAAUUCUUUAUGCAUUAGUUCAUGAUGGUAUCUGCUUGUUUUGAAGCAGUAGGAAGAUACUUCUUAUGAAUGUAAAUGUAUGAUUAGAUUGUUUUCAAAGUAACCGACAGAUACACUCUUUAUUUAAUGUGUUCUAUAAUUUUGAUGAUAAAAAAGUUGGUGUCUAAGUAGAAUGAAAUCAAGAAUCGCUGUUUAGCUGCACUUAAAUUCUUCUCUUCUUGCAUUUGAUUAUGAGCAAGUUCGUCGGAAGUCAUUUUGUGAAUCGGAGGAAGGGGUGAAAGUGAAAUUAUUUUUCUCGAAAUAGAAAAAUAAUUUCUAUUCAAACGGUGGAUAAAAAUCCGUAGGUGAGGCUCGCAGCGGGUUGUCUUGUUGGGUCUUUAAGCUCAAAAUGGCAAGAGCGCUCAAUUCAUUUGAAAGUGAAUAUCGGGUACUUUUGAAUGCCUUGAGAGGUUGGUGGUUCGAGCCCACCGAGAUCCUUUCAUGUUUGUCAGCGGCCGUAUGUUUUUUUAAUCUUUGUAUUGAGAGUUUUAUGGGAAAGGAUUAAGCUUGGACCACCUUCAGCUCGUUAGUUCUUUCGAGACUAUCCAGCUAAGCAGGAGCUUCAGCCAUGGCGGGUCUAUUGAUACGAGAACGUCUCCUCUACGAUCUUCUUUUAGAACGAGACGGGGGAAGUCCAGACGUUGAAGAAGUGGAGUUUAAAGUACAAACAUACCGCGGAAGUCCAUUAUUGCUUUGAUGUGUUAUUACAAAUCAAUUAUGAUGCCCGGGUUCACGAUACACAUGGUCUUAUGGUUGUAAACUGGACGAGAGCGCGACAAAGCCCAGGGAAGCGUGGAAGGCAAAUCCCCACCAUGCGAGCCUCGUGUCCAACAUGUGGCACGAGGUUUGUGAAAAAGUUCCACGUGUUCUCUCCUUUGAGCGUCCUUCCACCAGUCGGUGAUCCAUUUAAAGACGGCAGCGGACAAAAUUGGUGGGU